GUCUUUUUGAAUUAAAAUUUAAAGUCGAAUCUGCCCACUGAUUUAAAAUUAAAGGGCUGCAGUAUAUUGACUGUACAAAGGUAGCAUAAUAAUUAGUCUUUUAAUUGAAGACUUGUAUGAAAGAUUUGAUGAGAUAUAAACUGUCUCUUUUUUACAAUUAGAAUUUAAUUUUUCAGUAAAAAAGCUGAAAUUAUUUUAAAAGACGAGAAGACCCUAUAGAGUUUUAUAAUUAGUUUAAUUAUAAAUUUAUAUUUAAUUUUAAAGUUAAUUAAUUUAAUUAUUUUGUUGGGGUGAUAGAAAAAUUAAAUUAACUUUUUUUUUAAAAAUAUACAUUAAUUAAUGAUUUUUUGAUCCAUAAUUUAUGAUUAAAAGAAAAAAUUACCUUAGGGAUAACAGCGUAAUUUUUUUUUUUAGUUCUUAUAAGAAAAAAAGUUUGCGACCUCGAUGUUGGAUUAAGAUAAAAUUUAAAUGUAGAAGUUUAAAAUUUUUGAUCUGUUCGAUCAUUAAAAUCUUACA
rnacentral:rRNA from 1 species